UACGUAGGGUGCGAGCGUUAAUCGGAAUUACUGGGCGUAAAGCGUGCGCAGGCGGCUUUGCAAGACAGAGGUGAAAUCCCCGGGCUCAACCUGGGAACUGCCUUUGUGACUGCAUAGCUAGAGUACGGUAGAGGGGGAUGGAAUUCCGCGUGUAGCAGUGAAAUGCGUAGAUAUGCGGAGGAACACCGAUGGCGAAGGCAAGCCCCUGGACCGGUACUGACGCUGAUGUGCGAAAGCGUGGGGAGCAAACAGG
rnacentral:rRNA from 1 species